rnacentral:rRNA from 1 species
UACAGAGGUCUCAAGCGUUGUUCGGAUUCAUUGGGCGUAAAGGGUGCGUAGGCGGCGCGGUAAGUCGGAUGUGAAAUCUCGGAGCUUAACUUCGAAACUGCAUUCGAUACUGCCGUGCUUGAGGACUGGAGAGGAGACUGGAAUUUACGGUGUAGCGGUGAAAUGCGUAGAUAUCGUAAGGGAAGACCAGUGGCGAAGGCGGGUCUCUAGACAGUUCCCUGACGCUGAGGCACGAAGGUCAGGGGGAGCAAACGGG